rnacentral:rRNA from 1 species
UACAGAGGGGGCAAGCGUUGUUCGGAAUUACUGGGCGUAAAGGGCGCGUAGGCGGCCUGUUAAGUCGAACGUGAAAUCCCCGGGCUCAACCCGGGAACUGCGUCCGAUACUGGCAGGCUUGAAUUCGGGAGAGGGAUGCGGAAUUCCAGGUGUAGCGGUGAAAUGCGUAGAUAUCAGGAGGAACACCGGUGGCGAAGGCGGGUCUCUGGGCAGUGAACUGACGCUGAGGAGCGAAAGCGUGGGGAGCGAACAGGA